AAGUUUAGGUUAACCCAAACAAACCAAGGGCCUUCAAAGCCCAAAAUAGGGCCUAAGCCCCUAACUUCUG
rnacentral:tRNA from 1 species